rnacentral:rRNA from 1 species
CCCGUCGCUACUACCGAUUGAAUGGCUUAGUGAGAUCCUCGGAUGGGUCCUGGCGUGCCCCUUCCCGGGGGCGCGCCGGUGUGCCGAGAAGACGAUCGAACUUGAUCAUUUAGAGGAAGUAAAAGUCGUAACAAGGUUUCCGUAGGUGAACCUGCGGAAGGAUCAUUACCGAGA